ensembl:lncRNA
UCAGCUUUAUUGUAAUUUAUUGACAGCAAAUAUUUCACAACAAAACAGACAUUUUAUUCAAUUUAACUAAGUUUAUUACAAUAAAAAAAAAAAAAACCAAGCAAACAAGAGGAGAAAUAUUUCUAACUUCCCAGUCUGAGAGAGGGACCCUGGGAAAAGCCCCAUGAGCAGAGCCAUGUGCAGCAGGAGGGACUUUGUCCCUGCUGACGUUGCAGGAGGGUUCAGCCGUGACAUCCAACAGCCAAAUGGUGCCAGACUGAUUUUGAUGUUAAAAAAAUAAAAGUUAAAAAGAAAGGCACAGAUAGUGAGAGCCAUAUACAAUGUCAUCCACAAGCCUUUGGAUGGACAGACAGGAGCAGAGCUAAGUCACAACUUUUCCUCUCCAAAAAUUACUGGUAAAAGUAUCAAAGACAUUAUCUGGUUGUUUUAAUUUUUUAUCAAUUCUGUAGCAGCAUUGUUGCUCUAACGGUUUUUCCUUGCAAUGCUCUAUCCUCUGCAAACACUGUGGGUGAGUCCUCCAGUCAGGUCAUUUUCCUCAAAUUAACCAGCACUUCAGUUUCUAUAGACAGAAGUAGAGUCCAAGAGUGGCUGAAAAAGCAGAACCAUUUUACCAAGCCAUGACACAGCACAGCUCCACUUCCUGCUGUUCUGAUUCAAUCCAGUUUAUGCACCUACAGACACUGAUUUCUCUGAGAAGCAUUCAACAUCUACAGAAGGCAGACUGGUUUUAUUUUAUUUUAUUGGUGUCCAUCUCCAAAUACAAUUGUCAAGUAGUCUAAUACAGCAGAAACAGGAGUUUUGGGGGUCCCACCAACCUUUCCAUAGGUUGUGGAGUGUUAUGGGGACUUCCCAGCAGUUUGUUUUCCAUGCCCCUUCAGUAAUGUGAAGUUCCAGCUUUCAAACCAUCCACCAAUCCUGAUCAGGAAUCCAGAAAGGCACAGAAUCUUUUACCAAAAAAAACUGUCCCCAGCAAGCUUCACAAGACACUGAGUGUUUGAGUUCUCCCUCCAUCCUUCCCUCUUGAGGCCUUGCACCCAGCCCUACCUGUCUUACAGCAGACAUGCAGAGCUCUUGGGCUGUGUUCUGUGACAUCCAAGCCCAGCCACUGCAGGCACACAUCAACAUUCAAUUAUCCUGUUAAUGCUAUUCCAAAUGUAGAACAAAAACUUCCAACCUGAAAAUAUUUAAAUGCAGAAGUCACCAUAACACCUGCUUGCUCUAGCAGUCCUUGACUGGCCUCCACCUUCUCCUCUGACAUGUAAAUGUUCUUUCAACAAACAUCUGGAAAUCACAGAUUCCUCAUUUCAUCUUUUUUGAGAACAGUAUCACCUUAAAGAUGCAAAGACAAAAUAAAAGUUUUUCUCUAAACUGAAAGUUCUGAACUUUUUUCCACUUUCACUCUUUUUUUUUUUUUUUUUUUUUAAUGGGGAUCCGGUAAGUUUACAAACAACUUAUUUACAGUAUCUUUGUCACAUCUCAGUGAAAAUACUGAUAGGGAUAUAAAUACAAGGUGAAAUGUACAAGGGUGAAUACUGCCACUUUACAAUAUUUACACUUCCCUGUCACCACUGAACUAGUCUCUAAGUUUGCAGGUUGAAAAAAUCGGACAAACAAAAAAACAACCCCCAAAAAAAACCCCAAAUCAUCUGCACCCAAAGAUGGUUUGGAGGCCACACAGGAGAUGGGCAAAAAUUUGCCAUAACUUCUUGUCCUGGCUUGUAAGAUAAGCAUGUAUUCUAUUGCCAUCCGUUGGAGGUUGGGCAGUUUUCUUAUCUCUUCCAAGAACAAUGUCUCCCUCUGGGGAGAAAUCUUCUGUUAAUGGACCAUUGAAUAACUCACUGCAUGACCGGUAAAGUUACAUCAUCCCACUGUGAGAUGCUCCACCCAGAGGGAGGAGCUAAGCAUUCUUACCAGCAUAAAAUCAGCACUUUUUGAGAUACUGGCAGCCACUUCGCUGGAUUCCCAGAGGAGCAGCUUCUUCUCUGCUGAAUUCCCAGAGGAAGACCAGGCCCAACUACUACCAGACCUUCAGAGAAAACUCCACCCUUCUAGAGAUCACCACUUCAGCAGCAUUUCAUAUGCCGCUCCUGGAGGAGCAGCCACCAUUUUAACUGGACAACUACCAACACCCUGACCCCUCAGGGUGUCAGGUUUCUGACUCCAUCACUAGUUUCGUUUGUACUAAUUACAUUUGUUUUGUUAUUAUUUUUUUUAUUUAGUUUCUUCCUAGUAAAGAACUGUUAUUCCCAUUCCCAUAUCUUUGCCUGAGAGCCUUUUUUUAAAUUGUGGUAAUUCGGAGGGAGGGGGUUUACCUUUUUCACUUCACAGGAGGCUUUUGCCUUCCUUCAGAGACUCCUGUCUUUUCAAACCUAGACACUUAUUUAUUUUCAGUAUUGUUUCUUUAAACGGAACUAGUUUGAAUGAAGCUGCAGAACAGGAGCUGCAGCAUGUCCCCAGAUGGAUUCAGUGGGCAUUUGAAUGCUGCAGCCCAGCUGCUCCCAAGCACUGGGGACAGCUCAGCCUUGCAGGAGCCCCGUGAGGCUGCUCCCUGUGCGGUCACAGCUCCGAGCAGCACGGCUGGGGACCCCCGCAGCACACCCUGCUCAUCACCCAGCCCUGCAGAGAAACACAGGGUACCAAACAGCUCCACUGAAAGGCAGCUGGGAGCAAGAUGGACACAGUGCUUGGUUCCUAAAUGUGCACAAAGUAAAGCUACAGCACCAGAACACAUGUAUAAAUAUGGCCUGAGUUCUCUUUUUGCUUGCUGAAUUUGUACUUCUACUGAAAAAAACACCACUAUGGAAGACAUGAUAUUUAAAAUACUAAGUAAAGAGGUUAGUAUCAAAUACUAGAAGGACAAAAAUUUAUUUAGAGCUCCACAACAUACACAUCAACUCAGAAUCAAACUGAACUUGAACACAGCAAUCUUUGACAAAACCCAAGUGUGUAAAUGCCUGUUGUGCUCCUGGAGACUAUUUCAAAUGGUUUUUCCAACCUCUCUCAUUUUCAACCAAUAGCACUAAUAAAAUGCAUUCAGUACAGAGUUUUUGAACACUGAAGCUAGUAAUGGAGCCAGAAAGAAACUCAAAUAAUAACCAGAAACUUCCAAUUGAAAAAAUUAAAAGCAAAAUAAACUCCCAGCCAUCUGAGUUUUACCAGCUGAUCUAAGACUGAUCCCAUGUGCUCAUUUUCAAACUUAAGAGAAAUGACAAUCUGUUCUGUGGCAGACAGUGCAAAAGAAUUCAUAAAAGGAUAAGACAGUACAGCACUGUAUUUUGGAGGUAUUUAUACUUUAAUUUAAAAGGGCUUUGUUCAUAAUCACCUAUUUAUUAAGGUUUGUAAUUCAUAAGAAUAAAAAUCUAUGCAAUAAUCAAGAGUUUUAGGUUGGGUUAUUAAUGCACUUUGUUGCAAAAGUCUUUUCAAAACAUUUGCUGAACAGUCAUCUUUAAUUUUACUUAGGAAAAAAUAAUGAUUAACUUAAGUCCUAUGCACAUGAACAUCUUUAACAAGCUCCUUCUCUGCCCAUGUGCUAUCAUUAAGAUGAAUGGAAGCCCACCAGAUCAGCACUAUCCCCCCUGCAAUCCCUAAUGACCACUGUCAAUUCCUAACUUUUGUAGAAUUCAUUUUGUUUUAUGAACAAAAUUUUCUCACAAAGGUAAAACUGUGAAAUACUUCUACCAACACUUAAAUGAACUCACUGUGCCUUUUAAACCUUAACAGUAGCUUCCAGUACCUCCAAAUUGUGAUUUUAGUAAUUGCAAGAUUCUGCAAUUACCUGUAACAAUGCAAAGCACAAUGGACAUUAAAUACUUUUCUAUGCAAGGCACUUAAACAUCAACACAGGCUAAUAUUUAGCAACCAAAUCAACACAGUGAACAUUUAGUUUAAUUCACUAAGAUGGAGAAGAGUGGGCAAAGGAGUUGAGGGUGAGCUGUUCUUAUGUUUUUACUUCAGAAUAUAUGCAAGUUUCAUUGCAAAUAAGCCCCAUAAAAAAAAAAAAAGAACAAAAAAAAGAAGGAUUAAGAUAAAAUUUAAAUGGGUAACUUGGAAAUUUAAAUACUUGUCUGAUGCACAUGGCUUUCUUUUUAAAGCAAGUGCUGUCUUCUUAGGUAUUAAUGGUUCUUUGGAAAAAUCCACAUCACUGCUUAUCAAGACUAACAGGUGAGCU